rnacentral:rRNA from 1 species
UACGUAGGGUGCGAGCGUUAAUCGGAAUUACUGGGCGUAAAGCGUGCGCAGGCGGUUCGUUAUGUCCGAUGUGAAAGCCCCGAGCUCAACUUGGGAAUGGCAUUGGAGACUGGCGGGCUGGAGUGUGGCAGAGGGGGGUGGAAUUCCACGUGUAGCAGUGAAAUGCGUAGAGAUGUGGAGGAACACCGAUGGCGAAGGCAGCCCCCUGGGCCAACACUGACGCUCAGGCACGAAAGCGUGGGGAGCAAACAGG